CCUACGGGCGGCAGCAGUGAGGAAUAUUGGUCAAUGGCCGGAAGGCUGAACCAGCCAUGCUGCGUGAAGGUCAGUGCCCUAUGGGCGUUAAACUUCUUUUGUGCGGGAGCAAUAAUGGUCACGUGUGGCCAGACGAGAGUACCGUACGAAUAAGCAUCGGCUAACUCCGUGCCAGCAGCGGCGGUAAUACGGGGGAUGCAAGCGUUAUCCGGAUUGAUGGGGUUUAAAGGGUGCGUAGGCUUGGAGGUAAGUCAGCGGUGAAAUGCCCCCGCUCAACGGGGUGAAGUGCCAUUGAUACUGCCUUGCUGGAAUGCGGAUGCCGUGGGAGGAAUGUGUGGUGUAGCGGUGAAAUGCAUAGAUAUCACACAGAACACCGAUUGCGAAGGCAUCUCACGAAUCCGCGAUUGACGCUGAUGCACGAAAGCGUGGGUAUCAAACAGGAUUAGAUACCCGAGUAGUC
rnacentral:rRNA from 1 species